GGAGAUAUAGCUCAGUUGGUAGAGUGCUUGCCUCACAUACACAGGGCCCUGGGUUCAAUCCCCAGCACUGCCA
rnacentral:tRNA from 1 species